rnacentral:rRNA from 1 species
UACGUAGGCAGCGAGCGUUGUUCGGAAUUACUGGGCGUAAAGAGUGUGUAGGCGGUGCUCUAAGUUCGGUGUGAAAUCUCCUGGCUCAACUGGGAGGGUGCGCCGGAAACUGGAGUGCUUGAGCGUGGGAGAGGAAAGCGGAAUUCCUGGUGUAGCGGUGAAAUGCGUAGAUAUCAGGAGGAACACCGGUGGCGAAGGCGGUUCUCUGGGCAUGUCCUGACGCUGAGGAGCGAAAGUGUGGGGAGCGAACAGG